GGUCGGGAUAGCUCAGGUG
rnacentral:tRNA from 1 species